GACGAACGCUGGCGGCGUGCCUAACACAUGCAAGUCGAACGGAAAGGCCCUGCUUUUGUGGGGUGCUCGAGUGGCGAACGGGUGAGUAACACGUGAGUAACCUGCCCUUGACUUUGGGAUAACUUCAGGAAACUGGGGCUAAUACCGGAUAGGAGCUCCUGCUGCAUGGUGGAGGUUGGAAAGUUUCGGCGGUUGGGGAUGGACUCGCGGCUUAUCAGCUUGUUGGUGGGGUAGUGGCUUACCAAGGCUUUGACGGGUAGCCGGCCUGAGAGGGUGACCGGCCACAUUGGGACUGAGAUACGGCCCAGACUCCUACGGGAGGCAGCGGCGGGGAAUAUUGCACAAUGGGCGGAAGCCUGAUGCAGCAACGCCGCGUGCGGGAUGACGGCCUUCGGGUUGUAAACCGCUUUCGCCUGUGACGAAGCGUGAGUGGCGGUAAUGGGUAAAGAAGCACCGGCUAACUACGUG
rnacentral:rRNA from 1 species